CGUGUAGGCGGCUGGAUAAGUCAGAUGUGAAAUCCCUGGGCUUAACCCAGGAAGUGCAUUUGAAACUGUCCGGCUUGAGUAAGGGAGAGGAAAGUGGAAUUCCUGGUGUAGAGGUGAAAUUCGUAGAUAUCAGGAGGAACACCGGUGGCGAAGGCGACUUUCUGGCCCUAUACUGACGCUGAGACGCGAAAGCGUGGGUAGCAAACAG
rnacentral:rRNA from 1 species